UAAACGGUCCUUUUCAGGACCACCCACUUUUCUCAGGAAAGGCUU
rfam:Lingula anatina scaffold365, whole genome shotgun sequence.